UUGCCCAAUGCAGCAUGAAGGAGUGAAAUCAACUUCUCGAACCCAGCAAUUUUGAGAAUCUUUCUUGAAAAUCCGAGGGGCACGAAGUAACUAGCAAGAGGAAGAAGAAAGAAGGAGCAAAAUGUUAGUCCUUUCACCCAAGUUCCACACAUAAUAUAAUAAUUCUGCUGUUCUAUAAGGAACAGGAACUAGUGAAUGCAAGACAAUCUUAUUCAAAUAUCUACUGGAAUUGGUAAAAGCCACGGCUUCUACCUCAAUGAUAAAAAUGAUGACAGGAUAACUUUCAUGCUUCUUGAUGUGGGAACGAACAGGGUUAAAUUAAGUAUACAUAUUAAUCAACUUACGAACUUUGAUCACUAGCUAAAUUUAGAAUUUACUAUUUGUAUAUUUCAUGGGAAAAUGUAAAGUAAUGAGUCACAAAUUUUGUAGUUUAACUGGCAAACCUGGAUUAGAAGAAACUUUGGAAA